AUCAGCUGACGAAUCUCAAAUAGGAGGAAACGCGCAUCCUGGAU
rnacentral:hammerhead_ribozyme from 1 species